rnacentral:tRNA from 1 species
GGCCCCAUCGUCCAGCGGCCUAGGAUGUCACCCUUUCAAGGUGAAGACACGGGUUCGAACCCCGUUGGGGCUA